AUUACAGGCAUGAACCACUGCUCCCAGCCUGGUAUUUGCAUAUUUGAUCAGGUGAAAGGUUUAAGGCACUAAGGAAGAGUCACCCUUGUUGCCUCAUCAACAUUAAUUAGCUGGCAUGAUUUCCAAAUAGCCUUUGAUUAAAACCUUUGAGACAGCGACAGUCAAGAAAAACAAGGUCCAAGUCUGUGUUCGUCGAACAAAACAAAUGCAGUCCAGAACAAUCAUUUCUUGGCGUUCAUGUCCCGAAAAGCAGACCCACAAAAGACAGGCCAUCACUCAAGUUCAUCUGAGAGCAACCUGCAAGCGGAUCCAGGCUUAGGGCAUAACAAGACGGCCCACAAGCCUCGACUAUAGAGAGGUUCACAAGCACUUCUCAAGGAGCCUGUAGGAAGCUCUGUUAUCCCCAGCAGAUAACGCAGACAAUACUAAAACAUGGCCCACCAUGGCAAGACCAAGUCUCAGAUCUCUCCUCCUGGGUUGUAUGUGCUGGCCAAGGGCCUCCAAGUCCCAACGGGAACGUUCUAUCUACACCCGCAGCCUCCUGGCCCUUCCCUCCCUUCAGCGGCUGCAGCCCACAUACACCUCACUCACCUCGUACACAUUGUAUGCCUCAUCACUUCUCCCCUCUCGCAGCUUGGUGAGAUCAAAGGCUGUGGCUGAUGUGGAUAAAUUACACUCUAAUGUGAAAGACAUUCAGUCAUGCUAUUGCUUUACCUCAGGCAUCAGAGUUGGGUAAUAAAGAAAAGGCUUGUGCCUGGGUAGAAAAGGCCUCCAGGCAUCUUUCCAGUGCCCUUUGAAUGGAGUCACUCCAGCUUCUCCUGGGAGCUAUUCUGAAGCCACUGGGUUCAGUCCAGUGCCCCCUGAGUGCCUCCUCUGUGCCAG
rnacentral:lncRNA from 1 species